AUUGAACGCUGGCGGCAGGCCUAACACAUGCAACUCGAACGGUAACAGGAAGAAGCUUGCUUCUUUGCUGACGAGUGGCGGACGGGUGAGUAAUGUCUGGGAAACUGCCUGAUGGAGGGGGAUAACUACUGGAAACGGUAGCUAAUACCGCAUAACGUCGCAAGACCAAAGAGGGGGACCUUCGGGCCUCUUGCCAUCGGAUGUGCCCAGAUGGGAUUAGCUAGUAGGUGGGGUAACGGCUCACCUAGGCGACGAUCCCUAUCUGGUCUGAGAGGAUGACCAGCCACACUGGAACUGAGACACGGUCCAGACUCCUACGGGAGGCAGCAGUGGGGAAUAUUGCACAAUGGGCGCAAGCCUGAUGCAGCCAUGCCGCGUGUAUGAAGAAGGCCUUCGGGUUGUAAAGUACUUUCAGCGGGGAGGAAGGGAGUAAAGUUAAUACCUUUGCUCAUUGACGUUACCCGCAGAAGAAGCACCGGCUAACUCCGUG
rnacentral:rRNA from 1 species